CCAUUGCGGUUUUUGCUGUGGGAACCGUAUUUCUCCCGCCGUGGUCACAGGUGACACAUUUUGCAUUGUUGUGCAGCUGACCCACUGGGACUACUCGUUAUGGGUGGCACUGCUAUCGCAGUCACGCCUUUCUGCAUGAGAUGUGAACCCACAGCCCAUUAGGAGGCUGUCCUCCAGGGUAGACGCCGACUCUGCCAAAAAUCCUCCCAGGUGUGGCCUUGGUCUCCCGAAUGGAGUCAGUUUGCAGGAGGAGCCCUUAAUCUUUGAGCACAAGCAGCUGAUUUUCCCUUUCUUUUCUAAACACAGCAUCAGUGAGGCUGUGGCCAGAUGGAAGAACUGGUGCAGGGCAGCAUCACCUCAUUCAAGAAGCCAAAUGCGAUAGUUAAACCUACCAGCCUUCAGUGGUUCUAAAUAAGACUAGGGACAUGUUCCAUUCUAGAAUCUGUGAAUAAUUUGCUUGUUAAGUUGGGCCAACAAUUGAACUGGUAGCUGUUCUUCCCUUGUUUGGCAUCUAGGCAAGAAUUAGAGAAUUAGACACGCCUCAAACAUUUGGUCUGGAAAAUACACAAAAUAAUGGCUCCAAAAUCCAUCACUAGGACAAUGGGGAUUUGUCAGCUGUAGUCUCAGGUACCAAAUUAGUAUCUUUGCUCCAUCCCUAGGCCAUCUACCAUUCUUCCUUUUAUCCCUAUGCCCCCUCCCAUUCCUCCUCCCUCCCUCCUUCCUUCCUUCCACCAGUAUGUCUUAUAUGCCCGUAUUAUGCUGGGCCCCAGAGAAAGAAAGAUGAAAGCCCACAUUUUCUCUCCUUGCUGAGCUCCUUGUUCUAUCAGGGAAUCUCCAUUUGAUCCGUGAGCUGUGAUAACGGUGUGAAGGAAGUUUGCACAGAGAGCUGCAGGAACACAGAUGAAGGUCGACCAGUGCAGGACUCCUGUGCUUCCCAUUUGCUUCCUCCAGACGGGCUGCAGCGUUGAUUCUCAGAGGCUGAAGAGGAGUCAGAUGGGCAAAAGGCCAGACAAGAAAUUCACCACAGCCAAAUGAAGGAGGCCGGAGAGUCUAGUAGUUGAAAGCCCUGCUCCUGGAGCCAGCCAGCCUCAGCAGGUCCUGCUGAGCCCCCAGAGCAAGGUACUCAACCUGCCUGGUUUCCUCACCUGCACCAUGCGGAUAUUGAGGACUCGGAAUUCACGGGGCUGUGGAGAAGACUUACGGAGCUCAGCCAUGCCGAGUGUUCGGUUGGGUGCUUGGCUCACGUUGAGUCAAGGUAAGUGAGCAUCUCUCAGGAGUGUCGUUGCUGCAGGGCCCUGGCAGCAUGUGUGGGAAGGUGAUCUUACGCAUACAAAUCCCACCAGCUGUUGUCAAAACUGAGUAGGGAAGGGCGCCA
rnacentral:lncRNA from 1 species